UACGUAGGGCGCAAGCGUUAUCCGGAAUUACUGGGCGUAAAGAGCUCGUAGGUGGUUUGUCGCGUUGUUCGUGAAAACUCACAGCUCAACUGUGGGCGUGCGGGCGAUACGGGCAGACUAGAGUACUGCAGGGGAGACUGGAAUUCCUGGUGUAGCGGUGGAAUGCGCAGAUAUCAGGAGGAACACCGGUGGCGAAGGCGGGUCUCUGGGCAGUAACUGACCGCUGGAGGAGCGAAAGCGUGGGGAGCGAACAGG
rnacentral:rRNA from 1 species